rnacentral:rRNA from 1 species
UUGCUGGAACGCGCUUCGGCGCACCCAGAAACCCUUUGUGAACUUAUACCUAUUGUUGCCUCGGCGAAGGCCGGCCUCUCUUCUGAGGCCCCCCGGAGACGGGGAGCAGCCCGCCGGCGGCCAACCAAACUCUUGUUUCUUAGUGAAUCUCUGAGUAAAAAACAUAAAUGAAUCAAAACUUUCAACAACGGAUCUCUUGGUUCUGGCAUCGAUGAAGAACGCAGCGAAAUGCGAUAAGUAAUGUGAAUUGCAGAAUUCAGUGAAUCAUCGAAUCUUUGAACGCACAUUGCGCCCUCUGGUAUUCCGGAGGGCAUGCCUGUUCGAGCGUCAUUUCAACCCUCAAGCCUGGCUUGGUGUUGGGGCACUGCCUGUAAAAGGGCAGGCCCUGAAAUCUAGUGGCGAGCUCGCUAGGACCCCGAGCGUAGUAGUUAUAUCUCGUUCUGGAAGGCCCUGGCGGUGCCCUGCCGUUAAACCCCCAACUUCUGAAAUUUUGACCUCGGAUCAGGUAG